AGGACGAACGCUGGCGGCGUGCUUAACACAUGCAAGUCGAACGACCUUUCUUCCUUCGGGUUGAAAGUGAGUGGCGAACGGGUGAGUAACACGUGAGCAACCUGCCCUUGACACUGGAAUAACAGUUGGAAACAGCUGCUAAUACCGGAUAUGACCUCUGACGACAUCGUCUGGAGGUGGAAAGCUCCGGCGGUCAAGGAUGGGCUCGCGGCCUAUCAGCUUGUUGGUGAGGUAACGGCUCACCAAGGCUUCGACGGGUAGCCGG
rnacentral:rRNA from 1 species